GUCCAACAUUUCCUUGUGGAUUUUCUGUCUGGAUGAUCUACCCAUUACUGGAAGUGGGAUUAUGUGUCCAUUGUCUGCUGAACACUGAGACAGUCUCUGGGGAUACCAAAAUGAAUAAGAUAGCACCCAAAGGUGCCCACACUCUAGUGAGAGAAAACUACAUUAAAAAUUAUCCUAUGAUGUAAAGUGAUGAAAAUACAAAUGGAAGGUUGGGAAUAAUCCUAUGAAAAGACACAAGAGGAAGCGUCUUGUUCUUCCUGCAGAGGCUGAGUGGGUGAGUGGGAAGUUUCUUGAAUGACAUGCCUUGAAAGAUUGGGUGGGAAUUCACGAAGCGAACUGUAAUGUUGAUGGCAGUGGGGAUGGGGUGGGCUGGUGACAAUUCAUACAGAAGAAACAACAUGAAAGAAGGCAUAGAAGUGUGAAGAUGUAUGGUAUGUUCAGGGAAGAGUAAAACCAGGGCCCACUGAAACCCGGGAACAAUCUGAAAGGCCUAGAAUAUUUCUCAGGUGGGAAGGUUUCUGGUAUUAGAUUUGCAUUUGCUCUGCUUUGAGUUAGAGACAGGGAGGGCUCUUGCCUGGUAGGACAAGGGCUUUGUUAGUGCAUUUGGGGGUCUUGGGGCACAGUAGGGCACUUAAUCUGUCCAGGAGCCUGCUGCCAUGAAACCCGCUCACCUACAUCUGGGAGGCUGAAUUAUCAUCCGCGUUUCUGAUCGAUCCCUUGGAAGUAGGAUCCUAUGAAGAGCCCCAGAGGAUUUUAAAUGGGCCUCAGAUCUCAGGGCUGUUUGUCCAUUUCAUCUGCGCCUUCCUGUGGAGCCCAGCAAUUCUAAUAGUGUGGCUUCUGUGAGCUGUUGCCAACAACUGGAGAAAACAGCUUAUCGUAAGCACAAACAAACAAACAAAUGAAUUUCUUGCUGUGAUUCAUUGUUAAAAGAUAAAUAUAUUUGUAGGAGGGGCCAUUAUUUGUAAAAAGGAAUCCAUUGUGUCGGCUCAAAACCAUGUCAUUGUCCUAUAGCCUGAAUUUUUGCUGUGAAGACUGAAGAAAAUACUUAGCAAAUAAAAGUCACUGUGCCAUGCAGCAAAAUACCUAAUCACGCUUCACAUCUUUUCCCAAACUCAGAGGCACUGAGAGAAAUAAAACAUGCCUCAAGAUGGAGCCCUUGAACCACAAAGUUUUGAAGCAAAGUCAGUGAAUUUGUAAACUUGCCAGGUACAGGCAAACUUGGAGCCACUGGUCAAGGCUGGCUGCAGUUCUGGUGCAGAAAGCAGAAAAUGGGGAGAAACUGUGUUUCCCAGCCUCCAAAGCUUUCACAGCCCAGCCAGGCCUUGAGGGCAGGCUCGUGUGGUAGUUCUCAGACUUCAGCCCCAGCAGCUUCCAGGGUUAAAGGGUUAAAUCAACAGGAUAGAUAAUUUUAUCUGACCUGUUUAAGAUCGAAUCCUGUCUCUGGCCCUUCCUAGCUCUGUGCCCUUAGGCAAGCUUCUUACUCUAAAAAUAGCUAUUCUAGGUUCAUGAGGAUUAGAUGUAUUACAGUGUCUGGUGCUUGUGCUUACCAAUAAAGUGCCUGCUAAUGGUUAUUGUCGGAGCAUCCGUCUAUAAGCGUUCAGGCUGUGCACUGAAGAGGGCAUCAUGUUUAUGGGGGUGUCAUUCACAUUGUAGAUAUAUGAUGAAUGUGGAAGUAGGUAAGCCCAAAGCACCAGGGAAAUGCCCCUCACCUACAUCAACCCACACGUGGGCAGGCGUGAACUAUGUACGAGUUUGCAAAACUGUUCCCUGCCCUGACAGUACCUACUCUCUCUACCCUAUAGGAACCUGAUAAGUUGCCCCUCCUGUUUUGGUGGGGGAGGUGCAGGACACAGGCUGGUAUUAUCAGGGGCUCAAAUGACUCAGGUGAGCAGGUAAGAGUGGGAGUUCCUGGAUAGCAGCUCAGACUAUGCAGUGUCUUUGCCUGAUUCCUCACAGGCCUCUUGUGCUCUAGCCAAUGGUUUAAAAAGGAUCCAUGGAACUGUCACUGGGACAAUUUUCAACUGGGUGACAGUGCACCUCCCAGCAUCUGCCCUCACUCCCUGCUCCCUCUCGCUUCUACAAGUGGGCCAUGGGCCACAUAAAGGAUGGUGUGCCACACUUUUGCUGGCCCAGCUGUGUAGGCUUGUUCAGCUUAGCUAUUACCAAGAGACAUGAAGUCCAUCAUAUUAUCUAUAACACAGACUCUUGUCUGGUGAUAUCCAUACUUAUUAGUUACACUUAGUAGCACUUAUGUACAAUUUUUAAAUAUUGUUAGCCUUCUAUUCUUUCUACUUCUCACCACCUUUCAUUUUUUCCUCCUUUUUUCCAAAUAAUCCUCUUUACCUUUUUCCCUUUCUUGCUAAGAACUCUCAUUCUCUUCCUCAUAAUCUUUGUCUCUUCUCCUCCUAUCUUCUUUUCAUACCUCCUGUCAGUUUCUACCCCAAGCCCAUAUCUCUUUUCUUCUCCACGUUUCUUCUCCUUUAUUUUCUUGUUCAUUUUCUUCUCUUCUCUCCAUGCCUUCCUUCCCAUCCAGCUUUUUCUCUCUUUCAGCUUUAUUCUCUCUUCCAAACCCUCAUAGGUACUCCCUUCAUUUUCCCUUUAUUCAAUCACUCUAUUUCUCCCAGUGGCACUCUAAUUCUCCCAGAGAAUUCUGGGAAAUGGAAGGUCACAGUGGUGGGGGUGCUGGGAGACCAUUUGGUACAAGCCAGGUCCUGCGAAUGUCCAUUUCAGUUUGUAUCUUUAGGACAAAGAAUAAUGGAGUACAGAGAAGUCACCAUCAUGGAUCUAGAUGUAUAGACAACAUGUAAAUUCCAUCUGGAGUUGUACUGUGAAUUUAGAUCUUGCCCAAGUUUAAAUUCAAGUUUCUGGCUCAUUUCCCCUUGAAGUUAUGGUAACAGAGGAGUCAUGGAGUCUCUUUAGGGCUGGCCUAAUGGUCUUGACCUUUGCGAGGGUCAGGGUCUCCUUUGAGAAUCUGCUGGAGCUUUUGGACCCUCUUCUCAGAAAAAUUCACAUGAACUCAAAGUUUUGCUUGCAGUGUUAAGAAAUCCCCUAAAGCCUGUUCAUGGGCUUUCCAGGAGCCCUUUGGCUGGAGGUUGGAAAAUAUAAAUUCAGACUCCACAGGAGACCUUGACUGCUUUUCCAGGUGAUUGGUGUGGUAAGUUACAAGGUUGUGAACUGAGGCAGAAUUUUGCACUUCAACAGCAGAGGUAAAGACUACGGUGGGAAUUUUCUAGAUUGAGGAGAUGGUGGUCAGGUUCUGCCUUCCCUAUGAGUUUCUUGCUCUCCAUGAAGACAAGGAGCCUUCACCUUUCAGAGUUUGUCCUUUCCUGGCCAUUUGGAAACCUGGAUGUUUUAAGUGCGUAAACUUUCAUCUGGGCCUGAGCAGUGGGCAGGAUGAAAUACUCAUCAUGACAUCUGUUGCUUUCUACGGCUUCCUGCUUUAGUCAGCUUCAGAUUAAUAUCUAUUUUUUGGGAGGAGUGGAGUAAAGAGGUCACUUCCUUUGUCCAAACUUUCUGACUCAAGGUGACCUUCUCCACAUGAAAAAUAAAUGUGGGAGGGAAAAAUCCAAUUUAUCCAUUUUGCAAAAUAAUUUAUUCCAGCAAUCUGAACUCUGGAGUACGUUGUAUUUAAUCAAUAUGGCUCCAUGUAUUAUUAUCCUGUAGUUUUAUUUUAGUGGUGGUGCUUAUGUUUUUCUUGUAUCCUUAUUGGAAAUUUAGUGUUUUCCAAUGAAUUAGUUUCCUUCUUCUCUUAGCCUAUUGGGUCCUCCAAGUUUAUAAGCAGAAUCAGAUUUGCAAGAGCAAUUUACUCCUUUCUCUGUUCAACCAGGCAUGUUUUAGAAUGGUUUUUCUUCAGCGAAUUUAAUUAACAGGUAUUACGAGCAAUUUUUGUGGGAAGUCCUGGUUCAAGGGAGAGUGAACUAAAGAGAACAACACAAGACUCUUGCUAUACCUAGGGGGUGUGUGUGUGUGUGUGUGAUGUGUGUGAUGUGCAUGUUUAAGUGGGGGAAUUACUGGGAAGAGGAGAAGGUCACCUGGUCUAGAGACUGGUCCCUAUGCUGGCAGAUAGAGAUCUGAUGUGCCCAGUCAAAAGGGGUUGGGUGAAAGUAAAAAGUACUGGAAAAGUUCAGUUUUACAGCUGGCGAUACCCAGGAUGUUAGAUUGAUGGUUACACCAGUAACUCCCAACUCACUUGUUGGUGGCAGAGAUUUCCUGUGCUUUCUGGCUAGGAAUGCAGCAAGUCUGGGUGAAGGUCUCCAAGGCACAUACUGAGCAUUGCUGAGGAAGGCAGAAGGUGACAGUGGCUAGUGCCAUUAAGAGACUUGCAACAGUGGAGGAGGAGGAACAGGGAAAACUAGUGGGAAAGACCAAAAGACCAAGUGUCACCACUUCUCUUGAAUGUCAAGAAAACUCAAAUCUGCUAGAAACAAAAGUGGAAUAGCAAGACCUCCGUUCUCUUUCCCUCCUCCCAAUCAGUUUCUCUACUGCAUUGUGCCAGGAAACAUGAAACCCCAGCAGGGACUCCAGAUGACAGCUCUCAGCAGGACACCUCGCCAAUCACUCUUAAGAUUGGUACUGACCUUUAGAAUUUUCCCCCACGAACAGUGCCCCCCUCCCCCAACUUCUUUCUGUCAGCAGCAGUACGUAGACCUAGCAGCAGCAAUUUCCACAAGCUUUUUGUAUUAGAAAUGAUAACUAGGGUGAGCAUAUAAUUUAUUGUCCAAACUGGAACAUCUUUUUUAAAUGUAGGCACUGGGAGAGUUUUUAAAGUUUUUAUUUUGAGAUAACUGUAUAUGCACAUGCAGCUGUAUGAAAUAAUACAGAGAGAUCCCUGAUACUGCUUACCCACUUUCCCCCAGUAGUAACAUAUUGCAAAACUGUAGUAGAAUAUCACAACCAGGAAACUGACAUUGUUGCAAUCCACUUACCUUAUUCAGAUUUCACUAGUUUUACAUGCAUUCCUUUGUGUGUGUGCAUCUUGCUCUAUGCAAUUUUAUCACAUGUGUAGAAUACUGUGACCACCACCACAGUCAAAAUACAGAAGAGUUCCAUCACAAAGAUCCCUUGUAUUGCCCUUUUAUAACCACUCUCACCUCCUCCCGGCCCUGCCUCCCCCUGCCCCAACCAGGCCCUGGCAACCACUAAUCUGUUCUCCAUCUCUACAAUUUUGUCAUUUCAAAACUUUUAUAUGAAUGGAAUAAUACAGGAUAUAACCUGUUGGGAUUGUCUUUGGUUUUUUUUUUAACUCAGAAUAAUUUCCUUGAGAUCCAGUCAACUUGUUGCAAGUAUUAGUAGUUGCUUUUUAUACCAUUCCAUGGUAUGGAUACACCACAUUUUGUUUAUCCAUUCAACAGUUGAUGGACAUUGUGUUUUUUCCAGUUUGGGGCUAUUAUGAAUAAAGAUGCUAUGACCAUUUGAGUACAAGUUUUGUGUGGGCAUGAGUCUUUAUUUCUUUGGGAUAAAUGCCCAAGAAUGUACUAUCUAGGUUGUAUAGUAAGCACAAGUUUAGUUUUUAAAGAAACCACCAUACUCUUUUCCAGAGUGGCUGUAUCAGUUUACUUUCCCACUAGCAAUGUAUGAGUGAGCCAUCUCCUCUGCAUCAUUGCCAAAAUUUGAUGUUAUCACUAUUUUUUAUUUUAACCAUUCUAAUAAAUGUGUAGUGAUAUGCUGCAUAAUCCUGCUCACAGCAACAAUUGUUUUGUGAUUGUUCCAUGGAAAGCGGGAUCAACCUCCCACCCAAAUUUGGUUCAAAUGUUGAGACUGUUGACACCAAACACACACAGUAAGAGGGUAUGAAAAGAGGGAAUUAUUCACAUAACGGGACUUUUUUGGGGGGAAGCAAGUCAGGCACCCAAGCCAGUCUGUGAUGGCUUGAGUGAAGGGAGGGGCAAGCGGCUUUGGAUUUUACUAUGAUUAGGGAGUGGGGCCGGGAUGAGGAUUCCCAUGUGUGGGCAUGGAUUUUCAUGGUUUGACCUUCCCUGGAGGUGCCAAGGAGGGAGUACCCAGGCUUUCUUAUCAGCUUGCCCAGAUAGAGGGCAAAAGGGGAAGAAGGAGAGGUGGAACCUGGAUUUAGACACUUCAUUGUAAAUUGUUUUUGCA
rnacentral:lncRNA from 1 species